CGUGCUUAACACAUGCAAGUCGAACGGAAAGGCUCUGCUUUUGUGGGGUGCUCGAGUGGCGAACGGGUGAGUAACACGUGAGUAACCUGCCCUUGACUUUGGGAUAACUUCAGGAAACUGGGGCUAAUACCGGAUAGGAGCUCCUGCUGCAUGGUGGGGGUUGGAAAGUUUCGGCGGUUGGGGAUGGACUCGCGGCUUAUCAGCUUGUUGGUGGGGUAGUGGCUUACCAAGGCUUUGACGGGUAGCCGGCCUGAGAGGGUGACCGGCCACAUUGGGACUGAGAUACGGCCCAGACUCCUACGGGAGGCAGCAGUGGGGAAUAUUGCACAAUGGGCGGAAGCCUGAUGCAGCAACGCCGCGUGCGGGAUGACGGCCUUCGGGUUGUAAACCGCUUUCGCCUGUGACGAAGCGUGAGUGACGGUAAUGGGUAAAGAAGCACCGGCUAACUACGUGCCAGCAGCCGCGGUGAUACGUAGGGUGCGAGCGUUGUCCGGAUUUAUUGGGCGUAAAGGGCUCGUAGGUGGUUGAUCGCGUCGGAAGUGUAAUCUUGGGGCUUAACCCUGAGCGUGCUUUCGAUACGGGUUGACUUGAGGAAGGUAGGGGAGAAUGGAAUUCCUGGUGGAGCGGUGGAAUGCGCAGAUAUCAGGAGGAACACCAGUGGCGAAGGCGGUUCUCUGGGCCUUUCCUGACGCUGAGGAGCGAAAGCGUGGGGAGCGAACAGGCUUAGAUACCCUGGUAGUCCACGCUGUAAACGGUGGGUACUAGGUGUGGGGUCCAUUCCACGGGUUCCGUGCCGUAGCUAACGCUUUAAGUACCCCGCCUGGGGAGUACGGCCGCAAGGCUAAAACUCAAAGGAAUUGACGGGGCCCCGCACAAGCGGCGGAGCAUGCGGAUUAAUUCGAUGCAACGCGUAGAACCUUACCUGGGUUUGACAUGGAUCGGGAGUGCUCAGAGAUGGGUGUGCCUCUUUUGGGGUCGGUUCACAGGUGGUGCAUGGCUGUCGUCAGCUCGUGUCGUGAGAUGUUGGGUUAAGUCCCGCAACGAGCGCAACCCUUGUUCACUGUUGCCAGCACGUUAUGGUGGGGACUCAGUGGAGACCGCCGGGGUCAACUCGGAGGAAGGUGGGGAUGACGUCGAGUCAUCAUGCCCCUUAUGUCCAGGGCUUCACGCAUGCUACAAUGGCUGGUACAGAGAGUGGCGAGCCUGUGAGGGUGAGCGAAUCUCGGAAAGCCGGUCUCAGUUCGGAUUGGGGUCUGCAACUCGACCUCAUGAAGUCGGAGUCGCUAGUAAUCGCAGAUCAGCAACGCUGCGGUGAAUACGUUCCCGGGGCUUGUACACACCGCCCGUCAAGUCAUGAAAGUUGGUAACACCCGAAGCCGGUGGCCUAACCGUUGUGGGGGAGCCGUCGAAGGUGGGACUGGUGAUUAG
rnacentral:rRNA from 1 species